AGCAGCCGCGGUAAUUCCAGCUCCAAUAGCGUAUAUUAAAGUUGUUGCAGUUAAAAAGCUUGUAGUUGAAUUUCGGGGUCAGUAGGUUGGUCGUGCCACUGGUAUGCACUGGUCUCACUGAUUCCUCCCUCUUGUAGAACCGUAAUGCCAUCAAUUUGGUGUUGCGGGGAAACAGGACUGUUACUUUGAAAAAAUUAGAGUGUUUAAAGCAGGCUAACGCUUGAAUACAUUAGCAUGGAAUAAUGAAAUAGGACGUUCGAUCCUAUUUUGUUGGUUUCUAGGAUUGACGUAAUGAUUAAUAGGGAUAGUUGGGGGCAUUAGUAUUCAAUUGUCAGAGGUGAAAUUCUUGGAUUUAUUGAAGACUGACUACUGCGAAAGCAUUUGCCAAGGAUGUUUUCAUUAAUCAAGAACGAAAGUUAGGGGAUCGAAGACGAUCAGAUACCGUCGUAGUCUUAACCAUAAACUAUGCCGACUAGGGAUCGGAUGAUGUUAAUUUUUAAUGACUCAUUCGGCGCCUUAA
rnacentral:rRNA from 1 species